rnacentral:lncRNA from 1 species
UGUAGAACAGGAGAUGAAGCCCUUUGUAGGGCUAAUGUGGGAUAUACUCGGUAUUGAAUUGGCAUUAUAACAAUAGGCCCCCCCCCCCCUUUUAUCGGGGCUCCAUGAAGCAGAAUAUAUGGGCAGUGCACUGACCGAUGCACACCUCGCCUUAACGCGUGUAUUGCGCAAAGUGCGGUUCGUAGCAGCCGCAUUGUUGACCCUUGUUAUUGAACGCUUCUAGCAAACUGUAACUCCACCUAUCGCUAGUCUGGUCAGACGCCAGAUGCACGUUUCAGACCGGCCGUGAUCCGGCGCCCGAUACACUUUACUGCAAUGCACCUUGAAUAGCUAGCGACUGCAGUGAUGCUGCUACUGGCAACGAAAUAUGCUUAAGGGCAGAUGGGCGCAGUCACGCUUCUCAGAAAAGGUUCUAGUACACUCUGACCAGUACGCCUUCUAUAGAUUCUCUUAAAUUGCAAAAAUAUGUACUAUAACAUCUGUUCUCAUUAUGGUAGCACUAUGACCAAUUAAGGCUGUAAAUUGACGUUCUAAAGGUAAAAGACAAUGCGAGUAGAGGUAAGGUCUUUUGACUCAUGCGGCAUGAACGCAUCGGUUGCUGUGCUGAUUGGCAUCUGCAAAACGUCCCUGCAUUUACAUAUGAUACAACUGUGCAAAAUAGCUGUAAACUUGGCUCAUAGAUAUCCAGAGAAUCUCGCUGGUCAUUUGGUGUGGUGGAUUUGCUGGCAAGCUACCUGCCACACUAGUUAUUUGUUUGAUUUUUACAUCUGAAAUCUCAAGACUGAAUUUAAGCAUCGACUCAUAUUAAUGGAAGGUGUCUUGCAUGCUUGUUUUCUUCCUGUAGGCUCCUAUCACAGUGACAGACCAGACCCCCAUGGAAACUGUGAUUGACAUGUUCCGCAAGUUGGGCUUGAGGCAGACUCUAGUCACGCACAAUGGAAAAAUCUUGGGCAUUAUUACCAAGAAGGAUGUUUUACGCCACAUCAAGCUCCUUGCCAACGAAGACCCAGAGUCCGUGCUCUUCAACUAAUACAGCCAAGAGAGGCCAUCCACAAGACACUGUUGAGAGUCCAUUGUGUUUGAAGCGAGGACUUCGGGGACCAGCCCUGGCACUUUUAGUCAGGAUGGUGCUAGCAGCUGCGCAUGUACUCAAAAAAAGAAAAAAAUGAAAUGACCCCGCUCUCGUUAGCAAACAGCUGCUGCAACAAGCAGCACCCCCUCACAAACUGCAGCAAAGGACUUUGAUGUGUGUGCGAUGUUCUAGGGCACCUCCUCGGACCACUUCCCCUCAAUUUGACUCCAGUGGUCGUAGUCAUUAAUAGUGCGCAGCUGAGUGGGGGAAAGUGGUCUGGAAAGCAGCGUAGCAAGAACCGUGAGGUGUCAUCCUCCUCUCUCUGUAGCAUGCAGCUACGCUCAUUUGUGUACAGUGUAUUAUCGUCGCGUGCAAAAGAACCAGUCCUGGUGAGAGCAGCAGCUGCGAUUGAUUGACCCUCCAGGAUGCCCAUCUCCUAAACCCACCCCCUUUUACCCUCCCCCUCCUUUACACCCUCUAAUUUAAGAACGGCUACUUGUGUGUGCGACACACAGAAGACUGUCAUUUCGAGUAGUUGCUGCAUUUACAAUGUUCACUGUUUGUAUUUUAACACUACUGCAUCUUUACUUUUUUUGUUGCUCUUAACAAUAUACACACAAUUCCUGCAGCAAGCUCAAAAAAUACAAAGAAAAGAAAGAAAACCGUGUGACUUGACUCA